rnacentral:ncRNA from 1 species
CUAAAGGCUGUGAAGGGGUGAAGUAGGCUUCACCUCGCCGACAGAGAGGGAGCGCCAACGGGGCUGAGAGCGCUCCUCGGAGUUGAGGCGAAGCUGAAACGGGCCCCUGAGCCGAGGCUCGAAGAAAGGCUUAAUGUAGCCAAGUAGAGCCUCCGGAUGGCUCCGUUAAAGGCCGCUAAAGUGGGUAGAAGGGAAAGGUUACCUUUCUACCAAGAAGGGUGGCACCGCGAGGCUUGAUAGAUAAGCCCCGCCCCUUAU